GACGAACGCUGGCGGCGUGCUUAACACAUGCAAGUCGAACGGAAAGGCCCCUUCGGGGGUACUCGAGUGGCGAACGGGUGAGCAACACGUGGGCAACCUGCCCCUAGCUCUGGGAUAACUCCGGGAAACCGGUGCUAAUACUGGAUAUCGACCUUUGCGGGCAUCCGCUUCGGUCAAAAGUUUUUCGGCUAGGGAUGGGCCCGCGGCCUAUCAGCUUGUUGGUGGGGUAAUGGCCUACCAAGGCGACGACGGGUAGCCGGCCUGAGAGGGCGACCGGCCGCACUGGGACUGAGACACGGCCCAG
rnacentral:rRNA from 1 species